rnacentral:rRNA from 1 species
UACGUAGGGGGCAAGCGUUGUCCGGAUUUAUUGGGCGUAAAGAGCGUGUAGGCGGCCAGAUAGGUCCGUUGUGAAAACUCGAGGCUCAACCUCGAGACGCCGAUGGAAACCAUUUGGCUAGAGUCCGGAAGAGGAGAGUGGAAUUCCUGGUGUAGCGGUGAAAUGCGCAGAUAUCAGGAAGAACACCCGUGGCUAAAGCGGCUCUCUAGUACGGUACUGACGCUGAGACGCGAAAGCGUGGGGAGCGAACAGG